AUUUUUUAGAAAUAAUUAAAAAUGAGUCCUGCCCAAUGUGAGCAUAAAUGGCCGCAGUAUUUUGACUGUGCAAAGGUAGCAUAAUAAUUAGUCUUAUAAUUCAAGACUGGAAUGAAGGGAUAAACUAGAGAGUUUCUUUCUUGACUUUUCUCUUCGAAAUUUACCUUUUAGUAAAAAGGCUAAAAUAGUUCUUUUGGACAAGAAGACCCUAUAAAGCUUUACAUAAAAUAAUUUGAUAAAUUAAAAAUAUGUUUUACUGGGGCGGUGAAAAGAGAAACACUUUUAAAAUACCAAAAUAGCAUUAUUUUAUUACCCAAAAUUUUUGAAUCUUAAAUAAGCUACUUUAGGGAUAACAGCGUGAUAUAUUUUGAAAGCUCAAAUUGACGAAUAUGUUUGCGACCUCGAUGUUGGAUUAGAUUUCCCUUCCCGCGCAAGAGCGGGGAAAGGAGGUCUGUUCGACCUAUAAAAAUCUCCA
rnacentral:rRNA from 1 species